GAUGGAGAGCGGAGCAGGUGAGUGGACUUGGAGCCUGGGCACAGGAAUCCUCCCAAGGAAAUAAAGAAUACAAAGAAGCAGUUAGAAGCCGGUCUUCUUCACUCCGCUGGACAAAGAAUAGGAAGUUGGGAAGAGGUUAACUAAAUUGAGGGUGAGCGCCAGGACCUGGCGCUUGGGAGUCGGGACUGGUGCAUGCAAAGCAAGUGCUCUGCCACUGAGCCACAGCCCUAGUCUCAUUUUCUGCUUUUAAGAAACAGAAAGGGGGUCAGAACAGUCUUCUGCGUAUGCUGGAGGGCCAUGUCCUGAACUCCAUUCUUAUGUGGCACAAAACUGGAGGUAAACAUACAGAUGCAUUUGCCUUUAUCUGAGUAGGGCAGACAUCCUCAGAGGACAGCUCCUACCGUCUGUUUAUAGACUCCGUCCAUCCACAGCUUGCUGAUCAGCUUUGCUGGGUUUGCUGCAGGUACAAAUGAGCCCCAAGCCCCAGCCGAUCAGCUGUGUUUGACCCCUGCUUAUGUGUCCUGUUGGCACAGUGUGGCUGUGCUCUUCACACCACCCUCAUUCUGGGACCCAGGCUGAGUCAGCCGUGGCCAUCUGGAACGCGCCAAUCUCCAGACAGGCAGGUGAGAGCAGGAGACAGAGGUCAUGUCAUGGCUCUUACAGCCACACAGAUCUGCGGCAGGUCACUUCUGCUCAUGGGCUGCUAGCCAGAGCUCGUUGUGUGUCUUGGAGGGUGUCAGGGGCACCUCCACAGGGCACUGUCAGGUCUAAGAAUAAGCUGGCCUGCUGUGGCACGGAUGCUGGCAGGAGACCCACACUCCUGGGUCAGAGACAGAGGACUCGACUCCUCACGGCAGUGCAGAUCACAUGGGCCAUUGUGUGUCGCCCCACGUUCCAGGGCCUGGUGGGGCUGCGCAUACGGUGGGCAUCCUUGCUGCUGGGGGGCCCUGAGCUGGGGGAGUCCAGUGUCCCUGGAACUGCAUUGAGCUUGCUGCUCUUCCCCUCAAGGGUUUUCAGGACAAACUCAACGCUGGGCAGCUGCUGGGUGGACAGUGUGGAGGGCUUUCCAUUACUGACACCCUCAGCAGUGUGUGGGGACCCAAGAGGGCCCUCAGACAAGUGACCCUUCAGGAUGAGCUCACACUGGAAUGACAGCCCAGUCUGCCCGCUGUCGGAUGUUUGACAAGAGUGGUCUCAGGUGGCCAGCCCUGAGCCCGUUCCUGCCGCUCACCCUGAGUAUAUUUGGGGUGCCUUAUAAGCAACAGACACUUUUCUCCUCAGUUCUGGAGGCUGCAAGAUUUAAGGACAAGGUGCCAGCAGAUUUGGUGUCUGGUGAGGGCCUGUGUCUGGUUCACAGACGGCCCCUCACAGGGUGGACAGAGGGAGAAGAGUCUCUCAGGGGCUCUGAAGUAAAGACAGUGAUCCCAUUCGUUCCAAAGGCCCCUCCUAACACCAUCACACUGGAGGGGGGACAAAUAGUGGUAAUUGGGUACAGUUACAGCAUGGGGGCCAGCAGUGCCAUGGUUGGCAUCUUGCUCCGUUGGGAACUGGGUUGCCAUUAUGUCACAACGAUGCUGUCUCAUCUCCUCCUCUUCUUCUUCCUUAUUCUGAGAAGCCAUAAAUAAACAAAUGAAUACGUUGGGUCCCAGUGCAACAGGAAGUCCUCAUCUGCUUUUCUGUGAACAGGUAUGUCCUCAGCCUCUGGGAGCAUGCUCUCCACAUCCUGGGAAGCGGGGACCCCAGUUUACCUGUGGGCUGGAAGAUGCUGAGGCCUGCAGCUCCGUCCCAAGUGGACCCUGCACAUGCCAUCCUGCCUGACCCUUCCAGCAAGGCCUGAGAUGUGCACCAGGAGAAGCGAGCCUCAGGCAAUGACUACAGAGCCCCUGGUAAAGGACAGCUGACUUUGCCCAGUCCUGCAGUACACACACUGCCCGUGAGCUUGGGGGUACCGGUGGCUCAGGGGUAGAACACUUGCUUGGCAUCCUGUGCACAAAGCCCUGGGUUUAAUCCCUAACACGCGGACCCCAUUGCUUCCAGGGCAGACUGCCAGCCCUGACCCAGUGUGCCUCAUUCCCUCCAGAGCAGCUCAGCACUCACCCUGCCUGGGGGCUGCCCCCCAACACUGCUGCAGGACUGACCCUCUUGGGUCAGACUCUCUGAAAGCAGAAUGGGGUCGGGGGCUCGCAGGUCACUCAAACUGCGCCAAAUGAAUAUCAAAAACUGAAUCCACAUCCAGUGCACUGUCCACACGCAGACCUUCAGACAUCUCAACCUCACAGCAGCACCACCUGUCCCCUGCAGAGCCGGUCCUUUGCCACAGCACUCGGGGGUGGACCUGCUGUGACGGUGCAUCCCACACAAGCGUGGAGAUCCACAAUGUCCCCCUGAGGGCCCUGCUCCUCAAAUGGCGGGUGGACCCACAGGGUCCUGCCUGUAUUUUUCCAAAGGGCACUGUGCCCUCUUCACCUCUGGGAAGAGGAGGUUAAAAAUCAAAUGUACCGCAAGCAUCUGGGGACUCUCCAUACCUUCUGCUCAAUUUUACUCUAAACCAAACUACUCUAAAAAAUAAAGUCCAAAUACAUCUG